AAUGUUGACCUCGGAUCAGGUAGGAAUACCCGCUGAACUUAAGCAUAUCAAGACGGGGAGAGAAA
rnacentral:rRNA from 1 species